rnacentral:tRNA from 1 species
GUCGGUGGUUCAAGUCCACUUAGGCCCAUUGGAUGGGGUCUUAGCUCAGCUGGGAGAGCGCCUGCUUUGCAAGCAGGAGGUCAUCGGUUCGAUCCCGAUAGGCUCCACCAUAUCAAGGUAAGAGGUUUCAACGUAGUUGCUUUGCGUCUGCGUCUACAAGCGGAUUCGGAGAAGCCGAAUUUCUCGACGCAAACCAGCGAAGAAGCGAAUUCAAAGGAGCUACUUUGCGUCUGUGCCUGCGUCUGCUAGCAGGUUCAGGGAAGCAAGAUUCCUCGGCACAAGACUGCAGAGAAGCAAAUUCAAGAAGCAGUCUCGUUCCUUGAAAACUAGAUAACCGAUAAAGCAAAGGAAGAA